AGAAAGAGCGGGAAAGGAGUCCAGCCAAUGUGGCUCUGUGGUAAAGCAUGGCCCCAUGAACCAGGAGGUCACAGUUUGAUUCCUGGUCAGGGC